GUGUCAGCAGCCGCGGUAAGACGAACCACCCAAACGUUAUUCGGAAUUACUGGGCUUAAAGAGUGCGUAGGCGGCCUUGUAAGUAGGGUGUGAAAUCCCACAGCUCAACUGUGGAACUGCGCUCUAAACUACAUGGCUAGAGGGAUAUAGAGGUGAGCGGAACUGAUGGUGGAGCGGUGAAAUGCGUUGAUAUCAUCAGGAACACCGGAGGCGAAGGCGGCUCACUGGGUAUCUUCUGACGCUGAGGUACGAAAGCUAGGGGAGCGAACGGGAUUAGAUACCCCGGUAGUCC
rnacentral:rRNA from 1 species